GACGAACGCUGGCGGCGUGCCUAAUACAUGCAAGUCGAGCGCCGAAGGAUGGUACUUGUACCCACUGGAUGAGCAGCGAACGGGUGAGUAACGCGUGGGGAAUCUGCCUUUGAGCGGGAGACAACAUUUGGAAACGACUGCUAAUACCGCAUAAAAACUUUAAACACAAGAUUUAAGUUUGAAAGAUGCAAUUGCAUCACUCAAAGAUGAUCCCGCGUUGUAUUAGCUAGUUGGUGAGGUAAAGGCUCACCAAAGCGAUGAUACAUAGCCGACCUGAGAGGGUGAUCGGGCACAAUGGGACUGGGGCACGGCCCAAACCCCUACGGGGGGCAGCAGUAGGGGACCUUCGGCAAAGGACGAAAGUCUGACCGAAGAACGACGGGGGAGUGAAGGAGGGUUUCGGAUCGUAAAACUCUGUUGGUAGAGAAGAACGUUGAGGAGAUUGGAAAGCUCAUCAAGUGACGGUAACUACACAGAAAGCGACGGCUAACUACGUG
rnacentral:rRNA from 1 species